rnacentral:tRNA from 1 species
GCCACCUUAGCUCAGGGGUUAGAGCACUGGUCUUGUAAACCAGGGGUCGAGAGUUCAAAUCUCUCAGGUGGCU